GUGGAAAUAGCUUAAUGGUAUAGCAUAACCUUACCAAGGCUGAGGUUGGGGGUUUAAGUCCCUCCUUAUGCU
rnacentral:tRNA from 1 species